rfam:Gorilla gorilla gorilla genomic chromosome, chr18, whole genome shotgun sequence
GCUGGGUGUAGUGGCAUGCACCUGUAAUCCCAGCUACUCGGGAGGCUGAGGCAGGAGAAUUGCUUGAACCCAGGAGGUGGAGGUUGCAGUGAGCCAAGAUCGCGCCACUGCACUCUAGCCUGGGCGACAGAGUAAGACUCUGUCUCAA